AAGAAGGGCAGCUCUUCAGUGGCACCCUCUGCAGUUUGCUCUGGCUCUUGCUGCACCCUGGAGAGGGAAAGGGGGUGUCUUCGAGACGAAAUGGCAGCAUUUCACCCUCUUCAGCAACGUCCCACAAGGGUGUCUUUGGCAGGGAGGAGAAGAUAGAGAAUUUCAUCCAAGAAUUCCCAGCUGGAGACAUCUGUUCAGCAGCAAGUCACCUGAUGAACAGCUCUAACCAGCCAAGUGAGCUUUGAACUCUUCUCCACACCCCAGCACAUGGCAGAGUUCAUUAAAUGGGUGGAGAAUAUCAAGAGCCACCGCUUAUCUGCACUAUCCAGGCAGCACCAGGUACCCAGAAGAAGGCUGCGUGGGGAGCCCCUCGCCUGCAAACUGCUGGAAGGGCUGAAGUCUCCCCAAGGACAGAUUAGAUGGAGAAGCAGCAGUACAGCUCCCUGAUCCUUUCUGCAUUUCACCCUGCUGAGUUAUUUGCUGUUGCAGGCAAGAGUGGGACAUCACAGGUGGAGAGCACACUAGGCUCUUCCCUUUAUUCUUCCCUUUGGAAUAGCUUUAAUUAACCAUUUUUUAUCUUUCAAAAGAAAAAGAGGUUUUUCUCACUUGAGAAAUGAGAGGGAAUGUUUUCUGAAAGCUGUGUUUUAAUUGACUCAGGCUCGGGAGCAGGGAGGCUGAGGGAAGAAUUGCUGUCAUGGAAUUAACUUUAUGAAAGAAAAGCAAAUCUCCACCCUGUUUAAACAUGGGGAAAACAUCACAGAGGCAUCCUGCUGCACCAAAUGGUAAACAUGUCCAUGUAUUAUAUCACUUAUGGCUUCCUUUAGAGUUUUAUGAUGCUGUUCUCAAUUACAGUGUUUGCAUUUGUAAUUAGAGUGCAGAACACAUUGUGAAGGCAAAUUAUAGAGCUAACUUGUCCUUUCAAAAUAACCCAUUUGCUCAGUGUGCUCCCAGAAGCUUCUCUUUAUUCAAGGGACUCCAGUGAAGCACUAACCUUUCCUACUGAAAGUGUUGGAAUAUACAUUUGCUGGAGGGAAGGGAGAGGAGGAGAAACACAUUUUUGCCCCAAGGCUUUGCUGUGCUUGGACCUGACCUUUAAACCACUGAAACUCCUGUUGGUUUCUAUAAGCAUGAUCCUCCAGAAGUUUGAGCAACUAAUGGAAUUGGGGGUGCGUGGGAGAAGAAUCGGAUUUUUUGCUCUGCCGCUAAUUACUGCUGUGGCUUUGGCUAUGUCACUUGGCCUUUUUGUGCCUCCUUAACUGGCUAAAAAUGUCCUAUGGAAGAGCCCGGAUAUUACUGUACAAUCACACACAUAUAUAAAUGAAGGUGAAUAUGCAGGACUGGUAGUUGUCCUCCAGUUUUUCAUUCCUUUGUAAUUCUGAAAGCAGCUCUUUGGAGUUGAUGUUUUUAUGUGCAUUCAGUCUUUGUCCUGGGCUCCCCUUACACAGGGGCUCAUUCUCUAUUUAAAUAUAAUGAUGACACAUUGCUUCAUGCCAUGUUGCCAUGCAAAGACAGCAGAGCUCUCUGCUGCUUGGCUUUGCUCAGUAUCUAGUGGUGUUUCACUGAGCAAUUUCUGACCAGCUGCACCAUAUGUGACGCCCCUUCGUUUUGCUCUAGCUAUUAAGUGUCAUCAGCAGAGAUCUGAUCUUCCUUUAAGGCAGGUCAAUUUUGUGUAUAGAAGACCGGAGCCUAGGCCAGAUGUGCACUUUGCCUUUGAAUUCAGUAGGGAAAAAACUGUAUCCAAGUCUAAAGUUGGACUUGAUAACGCUCUACUUAGAGUGAAAAGGAAGCAAAUUCUCCAGUUGUUACUGUUCUGCCCUGUCUGCAAAGGAUCUCUGCAUUUGGGUAUCUUUUUUUGCAAAACCUGCACGAAGCAGGAGGACUUGGCUACGAACAGGUUUCCCUGCAAGUGCAAGUAACAUUUUCAUCUCCUGUACCGUAGCCGGGAUGGCCCAGGGAAGUGCCCUGCAGCAUGUACCUCUCCCAUAAGCAUGUCCUCCCCGUUCCUGGCCAUGAGGAGUUGCCUUGGCUUUGCUCUCCAGCCAGCAUUUAGGAAAAUUUCAAGAUCAGUACUCGACCCCUACCUAGCACACUGCCCACCGGUGCCCUCUGUUCGUGCUCCAAGGCUUCACGAAACCAGGCAAAAAAAAUCAAAUAAAGAACACCUAAAAAGGCUGUGUUCUCUCAGGGUGGCAGUGUUGGGAGGAUAAAAAACCCCAGACAAACCCCAAACCACUGCUCUACGAGAUUACUACAAGCUCUUUUCUUUUUCCUUUUUCACCACUCGUCCCACUAUGAAGUAGUUUGCACAACUUUUACUCCUGCCACAGGUAAUUCUUCAUUUCAUUUCCAAUAAGCUGCUUUAGAAGUUCACCGUAGCGCUGGCUCUCUCCUUGCCAACGUUUGGUUAUUAAAUUCCUUUCUUGGUAUCUCUUGCAUGGGUCAGGAAAGUUGAUUCCCUGGCCCCAACUUUCUGCCAGGUGCUUGUUUCUUCUGAGCAAAGGUUAGGUCACCUGAUGAUUCAUUGAAUAAACUGGUUUUAUUACUUUCCCUGGGUAUGGGAGAGUUUCCUUGAAGAAAGAAGCUGCAGCACAUGGGAUGACCGUUCGAAAAAGAAGGAUUAACAAAGGGGUUUCCCAGAAAUUAUGAGUUCAACUUAAUAUCUAGUAUCACGUUUUUUGUUUAAUGGCAUUAAAUCCAAGAAAGUGCCUAGAGGAAAGGGUCUGAACUUUAUAAAUUGUGGGAUUAUUUGUGAAGUGGCUGAGGAAGGACAUUUUCUGCUGCUCUUAUGAGGGAAGACAAGACAUCCCAGCGUGGUGUUUCACAGUGCCAGAUGCACCCCAGUUUCCACAGCUGUGUGUUUAAAAUAUGGCCCAGGUUCACUGAGCAAUGUCAAAACACAUCUGCAGGGCUGACCAGGGAAUGAAAUACGGCUGCAAAAUGGGCAAACUCAAUUUUGUUGGGGGAACAAAAGAGAGGAGGGCAUUUGUCAUCCAGAGGAUCACAUCUGAGAAACACCUACUGUUGUUUGACUAGCUGGGAUUUAAAAUAUAUAUGUCAUCACCCUGUCUUUGUUGCCAGUAACACUGUUUGCUUUGCUAUGCCACCGGGCUGCUCAGGCAGCUGAACGAGACGGGUGGCUUUUCCUUCUGUUUCCAACCAGAGGAGCCCUGGCUCCAGCACCUUGCUCCCAGGGAAUCAUGCAGGCUGCCAGCAUCCAAAUGCCACCGAGGACAAAUCCAGAGAGAUGGCCACCAAAAAAUAAGAAGGUGUGAGAUGCAAUAUGAUGCUGUUUGUUUUUCUGGAAGGUCAAUAGUUUUCCUAACAUUUCAGCUUCCUGUGCUUUUCAUUUCUGAUGAAAGCCUGUUUCAGCAGUUGAAGUAAGAAAAUAGCCUGUGCGUAACACGUGGAAGACUUUUUUGAAUAAAUGUCCUUCAAAAUGAGAGACCUUUACCUGCCUUAUGAAAUCACAUAAAUAUUUCAAGAAACAGUACAGAGGAAAAUUUAUAUUCAUGUUAGAUUUCACAAUGUGAUUUUGUAACACCUACAGUGGAUUACCCAUGUUUUCUGACAGUGCUCACAACAAGAGCAGAAGACAAGCAUGUAAAAAAAAAAAAAUUAAAAGCUCUUUACUUGAUGGUA